UAAAAUUAGUCUUUCUGUGGAUAACCACACAUCCCAGAAGAUCUUACUGUAUAUUGUGCCAUUCCUCUGCAUUCAUGCCAUGAUGGUUCUCACAUAUAUUAAGUGCCUCUCUAUGUUUGGUGCUAUUUUAAAUCUAUUAUUUUCCAUUUGUCCAUUUAUUUAUGCCUUUUUCAGUAUCCUUAAUUAUAAAAUAAUUUGAUGAUACAAAGGGGGAUUCACCUCACUUGGUAAUUCAGUAUUAUCUGCCCUAAUCUUCUCUCUCUUCUCCAUUUAAAUAUCAGAUUGGUUUUGUCAAAUUUCAUGAAAAUAUCUCUUGUAAUUUUGAUUAGUGCUGCAUUCAACACAUAGAUGAUAGUUCAGAAAUUGGAAUACAUUUCCUGUUGGUUUAAAUUCUACAUGACAUGACAUAUAUCUUCACUUAAUUCAAAUUUUUGAAAUGCUGUUCUCUAAAAUUUAAUAAUUUUCUGAAUUAAAGUCUAACUCAUCCUAUGAUAUUUGUUUCUGUAUUUUAUACUGUAUGUUACUCUUAAUUGCUCUCUCCUUUUGAAAAUAUAUAUUUCACUGUUGCUAGUAUAUGGAAAUAAGUUGACUUUUCAUAUUAUAUGAAACUCAGUUAAAUUAUUAAAUGAUAUGAUAAGUAAUGCAAUGCUUCUUUAGAUUCCUUUGCGUCUUCUGUAUUUGUCAUCUGUCUAUAAUCACUGACUUUCCCUUUUCUCAUUUCACACUUUGUCUUGUUUUGUUAGCUGGGAUUUCAGCACAAUGCUGAACAGAAAUGGUGGUGGCGUUCUUCUGCUCAUUUAUCAAUUACGUGUGACCAGGACAACUAGAAGUACAGGAUACGUGCUACUCACAAUGGGGUUUAAAAGGAUAAGAUUAGAUCCUGGGUAUUUCAAGGAACUAUUGGCAUCCCAGGAUGUUUGCAAAUCAUUCUCCCAGAUGCUACUGAACCUGGUUCAUCUCAGCUGACCAACAAGAAGCCAAAACGCUGAGGUGUGCAGCAGAGAAAAGAUUUGUCUCUAAGGCAGCCAAGCGAGGUGAUGCGAGAACAGAUCUCAGAUCCACCUCCCUGAAAGCAAGAGGCGCAGGGUAUGCAUGUGAUAAAGAAUAAAGAAGUAAAUCUGCCUUAGGUGUGGGGAGCGUGGAGAUCUUGAGGAGAGGUGAUUUGAAAAAGAUGUGGUAACUCUCAUCCUGCGCAGGCAUAACUGAGCUAGAAGCCCUGCAGAGUCAUAAGGGAAGACUCUGAGCAGGAUUCGAGGGUCGAGGUUUUGGUCCCCUGAUUUUGCACACCCAGGUCGAGGGUCCAUGGUUCUAACCAGUCUUAACAAGCUGACAUCCAACUAGACACAGCUUACUCUGGCUCCUCCCAGCUGGAUGUAGCUGACUCCAGGUUCCAGAAAAAUACCUCAAAGAAACAUGUUGUUUAGAUUUACUUGAAGCUUGGAGAACACGCAAGUCUUAAAAAGACCUUGAUUCGAGAAGGCAAGCGAAAUGGAUUUGACUAAUCGUUACCCAGGGUUCCACAGCCCGGACCUGAAGUAUGUCACUUGAGUUCCCUGAAGUAUCUGAGGACUUCCCACCUCAGGUGAGGGGAGGUCUCUGCUUGCUCUUUAAGCUCCAAAAGUGUUUUUACAGAAAGACCCACAUCCCCUCCUAGUGGCCAAAGUUCCAAAUGGUCUUUCCCCUUGGUCCUUCUCAGCCAUCUGGCUGUGGUAAUCCUCUCCAUGAGCCUAAUGAAGCCCAGCUCAUCUUUAGCAGGACGUUGUAAACAUGACUUGCUCUAAAGCACUGCUCUGUGAUUCUACCAGAUCUCCCUGUGUCACAGAGAGUAAUAAGUGGGUUCACACGAUACCCUGCCCGAGCCCGGCUAACAUGGCCAGAGACGCCAGAUCCCUUGAAAGAGUUUUCCCAUGAGUCUGAAACUGUAACAGAACCAUAGAGACAGAAGGUAAUGGUUGCUGAGGCUUUUUUGGCUUUUAGAAAGAAGACUUACGAGCUUCUGCUGCUUAGGAACAUAGGAGGAGGGUUUCUGUUCUUGGUAUUUUUGAUGAUACCAUCUGACAGGUGUGAUAUAACAUCUCAUUGCGGUUUUGAUUUGCCCCUGUGAUGACAGCAGUGUUGAGCAUCCUUCUCUGUGACCCUUGGCCAUCUGUAUGUCUUCUUUGGAAAAAUGUCUAUUAGCUCUCUUGCCCAUUUUGCAAUUGGUAUUUUUUGGAUAUUCAGUAAUAUUAGCUGCUUAUAUAUUUUGGAUAUUAACCCCUUAUCAGUCAUCACUUUGCAUACACUUUUCCCGCUGUGUGAGUUGGCUUUUCAUUUUGUGUAUGGUUUCCUUUGUUAUUAAAACCUCUCAAGCUUAACUAAGUCCCAUUUGUUUAUUUUUGCUUUUGUGUCCUUUGCCUGAGGCGACAGAUACAAAAAUAUUGCUGCAAUUUAUGCCAAAGGGUACCCUAAGUUUUCCUUUCAGCGUUUUAUGAUUUUUGGCCUUACAUGUAAGUCAUUAAUCUAUUUUGUGUCUAUUUUCAUAUAAGCUGUGAGAAACUGUUCUCACCUCUUUCUUUCACACGUGGCUGGCCAGUUUUCCCAGCACCACUUUUUGAAGAAAGUGUCUUUUGCCAAUUUUAUGUUCCUGCAUAUUUUGUCACAGAUUAAUCAACCAUAUUUGUGUGGGCUUACUUCUGGCCUCUCUGCUCUGUUCCAUCGACCUGUGCCUCGGUUUCUGGGCCAGUACCACGCUAUUUUGAUGAUUAUAUCUUUGUACAGCGGGCAGAAGUCGGGGAGCGUGGCACCUUCGGCUUUGGGCUUUUUCCUCAUGAUUGCUGUGGCUCUCCGGGGUCCUCUGUGGUUCCAUAUACAUCUUAGGAGUCUUUGUGCUGGUUUUGUGAAAAUGUCAUGGGUCUUAUGAUAGGGGUUGCUUGAAGUCUGUAGAUUGCUUUGGAUAAAAUAUACCUUUUAACAAUAUUACCUCUUGAACUGGCCCACGGGAGGAACAAGAAGUGAAUUCACAGACUUGAGCAGCACAGCUGGGACACCCGCAUUCCUUACUGCAGGCCACGAGCCUCCCUGUAAAACACGCUCCUUACUGUGCUUAAUGGACUGGUUUAUUUUCGUAAGCAAGGGGCAUCUUUUAACUCUAUCACUAUUGAAUUACUAAUAGUCUGUAUUAAAGAGUGACUAACAGUUGGUCACACAGGUAGUGAGGCUGGUGGUGUGACCCAGGUGUGGUGGCCGGUGACACUCUUUCUGGAGAAGGUAUUUUUCCAUAAGAUACUGAGGCUCAGACAUCAGCUGAGAAAUGUAAAGACUAAAUUGAAGUGGACUAACGUGAAGUCUUGGCAGAAAAUACUUUUAAUCAUUAAAUUCCUUAUGAGUAGUAAAAUACAUUCAGAAUGCAUUUCUUAAAGUAAAUUUAGGAAAAUAUCAACAAAAUAUGUGCAGGAUAUGUUCAAUUACAUCACAAGUCAAUGCUGAGAGAACUUAAAGACCUUGACAGAGCAGCAUGGGGCACAUUUCAGGGAGAGGGAAGUGUUCGGGGUCUGGAUUGUCAUGCUGGCUACAUGGGUAAAAGUAUUUGUCAAAAUCUAGUGAAACAUGAACUUAAAAUGGGUGUGUCCCAUUGCCCUUAUGUUAUACCUGAAGGAUGCUUUUCCCUUGUACAUUUCUGCUCUUCAGGAGGGAGGGGGUUGCAGAGCGCCCUCAGCUGCUCUGGCAGGGACAGCUGUGAGAAGCAGUCAUGAACCCAAAGGAGAGUCUGGGUCUGGAUCAUGAAUUGUGCGGGGCCAGGGGAUCAGGGUCCCCAGGAAAGAAAGUUCACCUGCCGAUCAUCGAGCUUCCCGAAGUUGCCAUGUACCAGCUUCUCCUUCUGGUUAAUAUCUUUCAAGUUGGGUUUCUGUUACUCCUUUCCCACCUCAUACACCACUGGUUUCCUGAGCUGGGCCCAUGAUGAGUUUGUGUGCUAAGAAGAGCCAGCGUUCAGCACCGUGGAUUCACUGCUGGCACAGAAGUACCGCGCUGAGUCCCCUGCCUGAGUGGAGUUGAUUUCCAGGCUGCAGGAUGUCCAGGACUCUGGGUGACCCCCGUGUCCACGGAGCCUGCGGGGGAAAGAGACAAAGUGGAGACAAAGCCCAGGAGGAGCCUGAUUCUGCAGCCACAGGAGAAAAUCCUGGAUCUGGAAUCUGACAAGUUCACAGCAGGAACUCACCUGCUCCCCAGAGCAAAAGGGCCACACAGCAGAGGAGACUGAAGCACAUGGUUGGCUCAGGGGAAAAGCAGGGCAGGUGGCUUUUUGUCUAAGGCUCCUCAUCCCCCAUCAGCAACGUCCUUGUGACGUGGUCCCUUCCCAUGUCAUCACAGUCCCUGUGGAGAGGAAACUACACAUUUUAUAGGCUGGAGGGCAGGGAAAGCUGGUGAUGCAACUAGUGUGGCUUUCAAACUGCUUUUUAUUGCCUUUUUCCUGACUCUGCUUUUUCAUUAUUAAAAAUAAAUAAAUAAAACCAUUUACAUCAUUAAUUUAUUUGCUCUUAACUUGUCAAUUUCCCUCCUCUCCUCCACUCUUGCUUCUCAGGCAAUGAACCAUACAGCUUGGUGUAUGUCAAUCAUAACUUCCCCUGCACUUACAACUCAGAUAGAAUCUACUUUAAAUUUUAAAAACUGCAUGUUGAACUAUACAAAACAAUAUGUACAAUGAGUAUACAGUGCAUCUAGGGAAACAACAAAAUCAAUGCUCUUGCCUGAAACCGUCAAUUUAGGAAACAGAUGAUCACUGAGAAAUUUUCAGCCCCUGUGUUAUUUUUCUAGAUUUCAUUGUUCUUUCUCUACCACGUCCAGGUAAGCAUGACCCUGAAGUUUAUAUUUUCAUUCCCUUGCUUUUCCUUACAGUUCUUGCACUUAUGUAAGAAUCUUUUUAUACCUAUUAUUCAAUGUUGUUUGUCUUUGAAAUGUGUCUAAGGGAGUUCAUUUUGCUCAUACUGUUUUCUGUCAUAUUCUUUGUUUUCAACACUAUGUCUAUGAUAUUAAUUCAUGUUGUGGCAUAUGCUUUUAGAGAAUUCAUUUUCACUAACAUGUAGGCUUCCAUUCUAUUCGUUUGACAGAUUUAUUAUUCAUUCUCCAGUGAAUGCACCCGAGGAUUUUCCCCUAGAUUUUGGGGCUACUGCAAACAGGACAAUCUUCUUGUACAUUCCUUUAGAUACCCUGGUGUAAUAUGUAUCUAUCCCUGAGAUAUAAAAAUUGAUCCUUAGGGUCCCCACGUCAGCUUUACAUAAUUAGACAAAAUGCUUUCUAAAUUAAGACAAGUACAUAGUUCCAUCAACAGGGCAUGCGUGUUUUCUUGUGUUCCACCUCUGAGUCAUUCACACUUAAUAUUCUUUUAUUUGCCCAUCUUCUAGGUUAAAAUAGUACCUCACUAUAGUUGUAGUUUGCAUUUUUAUGAUUGCUAAGGUGGUCCAACUUUGUUUUUUA